rnacentral:rRNA from 1 species
UCAGGAUGAACGCUAGCGAUAGGCUUAACACAUGCAAGUCGAGGGCAGCACGGUGUAGCAAGUACACUGGUGGCGACCGGCGUACGGGUGCGUAACACGUAUCGCAACCUACCCGGCUAUUGGGGGGACUAACCCGGCGAAAGUCGGACUAAUACCCCAUAUUAUUCUUACCGGGCAUCCGGUAGGUCUGAAAGAUUUAUCGAUUGCGGAUGGGCAUGCGGAUGAUUAGCUAGUAGGUGGGGUAACGGCUCACCUAGGCGACGAUCAUUAGGGGUUCUGAGAGGAAGGUCCCCCACACUGGAACUGAGACACGGUCCAGACUCCUACGGGAGGCAGCAGUGAGGAAUAGUUGGUCAAUGGGCGCUAGCCUGAACCAGCCAAGUCGCGUGAAGGAUGACAGUAAUCUAUGGUUUGUAAACCUCUUUUGCAGGGGAGUAAAGUGCGACACGUGUGUUGUAUUGCAAGUACCCUGCGAAUAAGCAUCGGCUAACUCCGUGCCAGCAGCAGC